rnacentral:rRNA from 1 species
CCUACGGGUGGCAGCAGUGAGGAAUAUUGGUCAAUGGCCGGAAGGCUGAACCAGCCAAGUCGCGUGAAGGAAGAAGGAUCUAUGGUUUGUAAACUUCUUUUAUAGGGGAAUAAAGGUAUCCACGUGUGGCUAUUUGCAUGUACCCUAUGAAUAAGCAUCGGCUAACUCCGUGCCAGCAGCCGCGGUAAUACGGAGGAUCCGAGCGUUAUCCGGAUUUAUUGGGUUUAAAGGGAGCGUAGGUUGUUUUUUAAGUCAGCUGUGAAAGUUUGUGGCUCAACCAUAAAAUUGCCGUUGAAACUGGAAGACUUGAGUGUGUUUGAGGUAGGCGGAAUGCGUGGUGUAGCGGUGAAAUGCAUAGAUAUCACGCAGAACUCCGAUUGCGAAGGCAGCUUACUAAGCCAUAACUGACACUGAAGCACGAAAGUGUGGGGAUCAAACAGGAUUAGAUACCCCAGUAGUC